rnacentral:rRNA from 1 species
CCUACGGGAGGCAGCAGUGAGGAAUAUUGCGCAAUGGGCGAAAGCCUGACGCAGCGACGCCGCGUGGAGGACGAAGGUCUUCGGAUCGUAAACUCCUGUCGAGCGGGACGAAGCCGGGACGGUGAACAGCCGUUCCGGUUGACGGUACCGCUAAAGGAAGCCCCGGCUAACUCCGUGCCAGCAGCCGCGGUAAUACGGAGGGGGCCAGCGUUGUUCGGAAUCAUUGGGCGUAAAGGGCGCGUAGGCGGCUUUGUAAGUCCGUUGUGAAAUCCCUCGGCUCAACCGAGGAACUGCGACGGAUACUGCUCGGCUUGAGUCCCGGAGAGGGUAGCGGAAUUCCCAGUGUAGCGGUGAAAUGCGUAGAUAUUGGGAGGAACAUCGGUGGCGAAGGCGGCUACCUGGACGGGUACUGACGCUGAUGCGCGAAAGCUAGGGGAGCAAACAGGAUUAGAUACCCUGGUAGUCCUAGCUGUAAACGAUGGGCACCUGGUGUUGCGGGUAUCGACCCCUGCAGUGCCGAAGCUAACGCAUUAAGUGCCCCGCCUGGGGAGUACGGUCGCAAGGCCGAAACUCAAAGGAAUUGACGG